rnacentral:rRNA from 1 species
GUGGGGAAUAUUGGACAAUGGGGGGAACCCUGAUCCAGCCAUGCCGCGUGUGUGAAGAAGGCCUUUUGGUUGUAAAGCACUUUAAGUGGGGAGGAGGCUUACCUGGUUAAUACCUGGGCUAAGUGGACGUUACCCACAGAAUAAGCACCGGCUAACUCUGUGCCAGCAGCCGCGGUAAUACAGAGGGUGCGAGCGUUAAUCGGAUUUACUGGGCGUAAAGCGCGCGUAGGUGGUUAAUUAAGUCAAAUGUGAAAUCCCCGAGCUUAACUUGGGAAUUGCAUUCGAUACUGGUUGGCUAGAGUAUGGGAGAGGAUGGUAGAAUUCCAGGUGUAGCGGUGAAAUGCGUAGAGAUCUGGAGGAAUACCGAUGGCGAAGGCAGCCAUCUGGCCUAAUACUGACACUGAGGUGCGAAAGCAUGGGGAGCAAACAGGAUUAGAUACCCUUGUAGUCC